rnacentral:rRNA from 1 species
UACAGAGGGUGCGAACGUUGCUCGGAAUUACUGGGCGUAAAGCGCGUGUAGGCGGGUCGGCAAGUCAGGCGUGAAAUCCCCAGGCUCAACCUGGGAACUGCGCUUGAAACUGCCGGUCUUGAGUAUCGGAGAGGGUUGCGGAAUUCCUGGUUUAGAGGUGAAAUUCGUAGAUAUCAGGAGGAACACCGGUGGCGAAGGCGGCCACCUGGACUAUUACUGACGCUGAGACGCGAAAGCGUGGGGAGCAAACAGG